GGGUUGAUUCAGCUGAUCUGGCUGGCUAGGCAGGUGUCCCCUUCCUUCCUCAAUCCUCCAUGUGCGUCCCUCCAUUAGCUUCACACUCGGUCAAAAAGGAGACCACCCCGGAUAGAGGAGAAUACUUUCUUGCUCAACGGUAUAGGAGUAGCUGCGCUCCCUGACUAGAACCUCCAAACAACCUCUCAGUUUCUCAAAACUGAGGUGAUCAUCCUUUAACCUCCAGCCU
rnacentral:sRNA from 1 species